rnacentral:ncRNA from 1 species
ACGGCCUGCUCGUGAUCGUCUUCUCACCCGUGUCACGCGGCAGGCACACGGAGGCCCCCGCGCGGUCGACUCGCGCGGGGGCCCUCC